rnacentral:lncRNA from 1 species
AAGCUGAGCUCUGCAGAGUUCUUUACUUCCUCCAGAACAGGCUUCAUCAAGCUAUACUCAUCCGAAAUGGACACCCAUCAUUUACACUGUUUUACUUUUCAGACCUUACCAAAAGGAGCAUUCAUAGAAGCUUUGAUGCAAAAACCAUUUUUCACUCUCUUGGAAUUCCUUAACACAUAUUCUCACAAUGUUAGUGGUUGAAAUUCUCUGGCUGUGUCAUCUGUGUAUGACAUUCGUUCCUAGCUGUGUUUAUUAAGGUCAUUAAUGGGAUUCUCUGCUAAUUUCGUGUCUGCCAUGUUGUCUGCCACAAUAUGAUAUAUAGUGCCUGAAAUGUGCACAUUUGAUGGAUAGAUUGCAAAAUAUAGCAAAAUGCAUAUUAGAAUAUUAAUUCUUGAUGACUUAUUCAUUAGAGUGGAGUCACACUUUUAAAUAUGUGAGAGUUACUAGUCUAUGAAUUACUCUAAUAGAGGAAAACAAUGCACUUUAAAAACAUAAAUUAAAAUAUCAUAACUUAGUGAACACUGUCUCUUCUGCCCAUUUGAUGGAGAUAAUGUAGAUGUAUAUGAAUUAAUCUAGUGAUGGUAAUAACACUAGCUAAUCAGUAAUGAACCAUGAGGGCACAAAGAAAGUACUAGAUCAUUCUAUCCAGAGGAUCAAACCAGGGAUAGAAAAGCAAUUAUGUUGACCCCCAAGGCGGUUGAUUCAGAUGGAAAAGACAAGAGAUUUGGGGGAAAAAAAGGAAAAGCAAGAGUAAAACCCAUAGUCUGUGUGAGUGUGUGUGUUUGUGUAUGUUGAAUGAAAAUAAAUGACUUAAAAUAUAUAGAUGUUAGAUUAUAAUUUGGGAAGAUUUUUAAAGCAAAUGAGUGACACAGUCCAGUUUACUCAGAAUAAUUUUGAAAGUGUAGUCAUUUUAAUCAUUUUUUAUUUGGCACUUAAAAAUAAGGAAUAGCACUUACAUGGACACACAGAAACACACGAGUGCAAGUAGGAUAUAAAUUGUCCUAUUUGCACAAUUAGUGUCACCAAAUUUCUGAUGACUUCCAUGAACAAAAUAGAAAUGAGCAAAUUAACAAAAGCUGCAGAAAUAAUAGCUUAUAUAUGUGAAAAACUGGUUUUGGACACUCAAGUCUUUUCUGGAAAUUGUGAGAACUUCUUUGGACAUUGUCUUGCAGUGGGAGUAUCAUUGGUGCACAUAUCAGAAAUAUCUUCGAGCAUGACAAGAAAAUGAUGUGAUUUUGAACAUGUUUUAGUACUCAAAAUCGGACAUUUAUUCUGAAUCUUAUGCUUUCUGAGAGCAAUGAGAAUUUCCUUGAAAAACUCAGGACAGCAAAAGAGUUGAAUGAUAUUUUUUAGUAAACAUUGUUACGUUUUAAUAUUUAUUGGGCAAAAUGAUUUGCUGGACUACAGUACCCAUGAAUCAAAAUCAGAGGACCAAGACACACAUCAGUAACUCACCAAGACAAACAUUAAUAACUCAAACUAAGGGAUAUCACUUUACAUUCCCCUGCUCAGUGGCAUCUCUCAGCUUCUCGGCACUUCUCAGUUUCUGCUGUUGUCCUGCUCAAAUGUACUCUGAGCAGGGUGGCAGAGAUGGUUUUCCUAAAAAUAAAAUAGAUCAGUUAAUGUCUUUUGAACAGGUUCCUGUACCCACCAUUGUGCUCCCAGAGGGACCCUAGUCCUUACUGGGACCCAGGAGCUUGCGGGGUGUGGUUUCUCCAUGGUUCUCCCAGCUCAACCCCCCGUGACCGUCCCUCACCAAGCUCUAGCCAAAUGGUACUUUCAGUUUUCCCAAACUUAUUUUCCCAACAUAACUACUCUGAAAGCUUCCCACGUUUCCCUCUGUUCUUGACACUUGUAUUCCUCAUGUGUCAGUCACCCUUCCCACACUCAGAUUUCAGCCCCAAGCCCAUGAACGGGUCCUCCAUGCCCAUCCUCGCAUCUUCCUUGGCUCUGUUCUGGGACCCCUCCACUUCCUCUCUUCCCAGAAUGUGUGUUUGUAUAAAUGUGUGUACCUAUGUGUAUUUCCCCACAAGACUAAGAUUCCAUGAGGGCAGGUAACAUCUCAAUCCUUUUCAAUGCAGUCCCUGGGGAAACUCACCAAGUGUUUGUGCUAUGAGUUGAUUCUCUGAAAAGCCUUGGAAAAUGUCUGUGUCUUUUACCACAGAAUGCAUUCAUCACUUGUUCAUGGGAAAUAGGUGUGAUGUGAUGUAAAAUUUAUUAUAGGACAAUUGUGUUCAGAAGAAUUUUGGAGUCUUUUUGGAAACUUCUAAUAUCUGAACCCAUCUCAUUUAGACUUCUUUCUCCAAGAUGCCUAAUUCUUCGAAGUCCAAUUUUAAAAUAGUCUUGACUGUCAUUGAAAACUCUUUUCUACUCCACCAUUCCCUCCAGAGCUUCACUAAGUGGCCCUGAAUACACAAUUCUGCCAACUUCUGAAUUUCUCUGAGACUCUCUCAAUGUUUUGAGGUUAGUGUGCAAAAGGGUAUUUUUAGUUAUUAACCCAAGAAUCUUCAUCGUCAUUUCAAGAGUUAGAAGUUUAAGCAUUUGAAAAUUUAUGCUUUUUUGAUCUACAGUUCCUCUCUUUUUUUAAUACAAAGACGAGUCACAAAUGCCAACAAAAUGGCUUUCAAACUGCAAUGCAAUCAAUGAAAGCAAAAUUUCAGAAAGUAGAUGGUUGACACUCAGGAAAGAGGGAAGUAGAUAAAGAGACAGUAGUUGUUUGAAUAUUUUCUUUCAGCUUUGACUGUGGAUUUGUUCUGUUAUCUACAUUCCCAUAUUUUGUGUGUGUGUGUGUGCAUGUGUGUGUCCUUCUAAGUCAGUUCACACUUAUCUUACUCUGCCCAGCCUAGCACAUCAAGACAUCAUUCACACACCCAAAGAAAGCACUGUUCUAUUUUAAAUGGGAUGAAAUAAUUCAUGCGCUUUUAUUUUAUGUUUCCUUCAGAUGGUCUGACACUGCUGAGGUAUUUAGAGGACUUUCCUCCCCUUUGUUCUUUAUCAUGCUGACAGAACGAGAAAUUUGGUCACUAUCCUCUGCUUUGUAAAUCUCUUUAUAUACAACACAUCAGUUCAUGUCUUUCCUCAGUAUUACUCAUCACAGAAAAAAAUAAAAAUAAAACUUUUUUAUGAACACUCCAAAACCUGUAAAAGUGCCCUAUAAGAAAGAAUUUUCUGCAUCAAACAUAAUUUGUGUCCUUUUUGCUCUUUUACAAACACAAAGAGUGGAAAGUCAUGCCUGGAUUUCCAGAAUACAUCUAAAUAGGGAAGAUAGGACUAAACCAUCUGGUUUAGUUUUAAUUUUUGAAAGUUUUAUCCUUAUAUUAAAAAUGUGUGCGCUAAUAAAACAUCAGAGGCAAGAACAAUUCGGGCACAAAAGGCAGUGAAAAUUCAUAUUAAAUAUGUGAUUUUGUGUUAUAUUUACUUGGGAGAAAUGUUAGUGUAAUAAAAUGAUAAUUUAUUUUAUAUUACAGUGCUUUUAGGGAACAAUCAUACAGAUGAUUAUAGCAUAGAUUUUAUCUAGUUUUUUUUUUUUUUUUAACCAAUGAUAUUGGAGGUCCUGUUGUGGCUCAGUGGGUUAAGGACCUGACAUGGUCUCUGUGAGGAUGCAGAUUCAAUCCCUAGCCUCACUCACUUGGUUAAGGAUCAGGCAUUGCCUUAAGCUGUGGUGUAGGUCACAGACAUAGCUUGGAUCUGGUAGUGCUGUGGCUGUGGUGUAGGCUGCAGCUGCAGCUCUGAUUUAGCCCCUGGGCCAGGAACUUCCAUAUGCUGCAGAUGUGGCUGUAGAAAGAAAAAAAUGUACAAAGAUGUUUAAGUAUUACGAGGGAAAGUUUAAUAAAUAAUGUUUAAUCAUGUCAAUAACCUUCUCUUAGAUUAAAAUCCAUCUACUGGAUCUAUAUAUAAUUUACAGUAUUGACACACAUAUAAAUGAGGUGUUCUACAAUUAGUUCUGCUUAAGCUAUUAAAAUAUGCUACCUCUAAACAUUUAUUUUGAAAGGCACAAUCUAUAAAGAAAAAAUAUAUCUGGAAAAGGGGAGAAAAAUGUAAAAGUCUUGUAAUGAUUAUGUAUUCUGGACAAAAUUCCCUCUCCUUUUAUUUUUUCUAUUUAUAUCCAUUUAAUCAUAUCUUCAAUUUUUAAAGAUUACAUUUCUGCCCACUCUAAAAACCUUGAACAGGCUGAUUUAUUAUUUCAAUUUUCCCCUGCCCAUGCUCACUUAUUCACAAUCCCAUGCACACAUUUUGAAAAUUGAAACUCCAGAGAUAAAACAAUAUGUUCUCUGCAGAUAUGAUAUCCAUGGACAUAUUUUAGCUAUAACUGUAUCAUAUGGAAAUGUAAUAUGCUUUCCUGCCUCCCGAUUUGCCAUGAUCUUUCAGGAUCUGGCUGUAGCAAGGAAAAUUAUGUGGAACAGGACAGAAACCAUUUUUAUAGCAGUAAUUACCUGUACUGCCUGCCUAUGAUUAUUUCAAUUUCCCUUUGCUGUUUCUUUGAUUAAGUCUUCACUCCCUAAUGCAUUGCACUUUGAGUUCCUAUUAUUCUUGGCUGUUUUGCUUAUUCUUCGGUGAAACUGCUGGAAAGGUAGUGUAAGUACUAACUGUUCUAAGAGACAGUGUGACAUCCAUGAACAUCCUACUGGAAAUGGCAGGUGUUACAUGAGUCAGGAGCACAGCUUCCCAUUGGGGGAGAGAUGAACCAAGCAUGCACUCAAGGUGCAGUUACCCUUCUUGUAUCUUCCUCCGUAUUCCUAAUCAAGAAGAGCAUCUCAGAUUUUUUUCCAUAAAAUUACCCUGAGUUCAUUUCUCAGGCUUAUUUUACCAAGAUAUGAAAACCUAUAAGACUUACAUCUGUAAUUUUAAUGGUGAUACCAAGCAGAGAGUUUGAAUAUACAUAUUUGAAGAUCAGGAUGAGAAGAGCUUACAGCCUUAUUGCUUCAAAUAUUGAAAUUAAGAAAAACAUAACUAUGUAUAGUUGUAUUCAUUCAUUUAUUCACUCAUCCAUCCACCAAACACAAAUUUGGCUGCCUAAUAUAAAACUGAUGCUGCCUAGCUUAGUAGACUCAGGCUUUAAAGACAUAGUUUCUUAUUUCUAGUAGGUUCCAGUCUCAUUCAAAUCUUGAAAUGAACCAAUAGUCACAACACAGAAUUAUAGGGCUUUGGAGAUGCACAAACAGGAGUGGGAUGCAAAUAGGAGCAUUUCUCUAACUGCAGGAUCCAGUCAGUCCUGGAGGUCAGUCUUGGAAAACAAUUAUGGCUUGAUGACACCUAGACAUAGAAGGAAAGUAUGGGACCAGACUCUUUCUAGGUCAUCAAAACACAUACAGGAAGGCAGAGGUGGGAGGGAGCAUGGUGUGUUGGGGGAAUUUUAAAUUCUUUUUAUGGGACUGCUACCUAUAGUGAAAGUGAGGAACAACAGUGAGACGUGAAUUUGUGCAUGAAGGCGGGAGCCUGGUCACAAAGGCAUGUCAUGAUACGGAGUAUGAACACCCUGUCUCCAUCCAUGUGUAUACUGAUAACCUUAAGUUCUUGAUGGUUGAUGAGAUAUGGAUAGAUGGAUAGAUUGAGGAUGAUAUAGAUGUAUUCGCAGAUGGAUGAUAUAGAUGAUAGAUAGUAGUGAGAUCGAAUAUAAUAGAUGAUGGAUGGGUAGAUAGCUAAACUAUAGAUUACACAGAUACAUACAUAUAUAGAUUAUAUAGUUGAUGGAUAAAUAGAUGGUGGGUAGGUAUAUAUUAGAUAACUAGAUAGGUGACAGGUGAUUGUUUUAGGUAGAUAACUGAUUAGAUCUUGGAUAGAUGGGUAGACAGAUGAUUGAUAGAUGAGAUGGAUAGAUAAUAGAUAAUUGUCAGACAGAUGAGUGAUGAUUGUUAGAUGACGGAUGGAUAGAUAGACAGACAGAAGGAUAGACUGCAUUUGGAGGCAGGGUUCUCAGUGCCAUGUCCUGGUUUGUACCUAGUUGCUAGUAGCGGUUCAAGGCAGUGUUCCACCAGCAGUGCCCCACAGCUCUGUCCAGUUUGCCUGACUCGGUAGAGACAUUAUGUGAACAUAAGCUGAGGAUUUUCAAAACCACAUUUAAAACAUGGAACAUCUUAGAUUAUUUCUUUUACUUGAUGGUACCAUAAAAUUACAUUUCACAUUAAGACAAAUAAUUAUACAGUGACAGCAUAGGGUUGCAAAAUAAUGUUAUUGCUGUGAGCAACUGUGCACUGGGCUAUGGAAAAGCAUCCAUCAGGAGAGAUUUAUUCUUCACUACUCAAUGUUAUUUUGAUGAUAAUAUUGGCCAAGCCUUGAGUAGGAGCCUAAGGCAGCCUCUUUUUUUUUCUUGUUACAGAGGCUUCAUCUCAGGAACUGGCCGUGUCUUCCCAAAGGUUCCUGCAGUGUCUCCAUCACUGCCCUGACACAUACUUGCCCCUUUAUCUACUCAUCCACUUACCCUGAAAAUAAC